rnacentral:sRNA from 1 species
AGUAUAGUCCUGAGCAAAGUAUCUGAAACAAGAAGCAUGUGACCACCUGGGCACAUCAUUUUUCUACCUGAGUGGUACUUGGUGUACUAAAGAGAUUAUGGGAUGCAGCACACUUAGACAAGGUGGAAGAAUCUGAGUGGGUCUCAUCACGUUGGAGUUGGUUUUUAUGGGAUAUGGAAAAGAGGCCCGGAUUUCUUCUGAGAGCAGGAGUAGCUGAGGAGCCCUGUGGCAACAGAGCUCGUGAACUACACUUGUGUGAGAAGACAGGCUGGAAUACAAACAGAAGCUUGCACGAGUAACCCAGGUCCGCAAGGAACUGAAAUCCCAUAUUCAGAGCUUGCCAGACCUCUCACUGCUGCCCAACGUCACAGGGGGCUUAGCCCCCCUGCCCUCUGCUGGGGACCUGUUUUCAACUGACUAGGAUGGGUGUCAUGUCCCAGAUUUCUGUUUGUACCAGCAGAAAGAAGAGGGCAAGUCAUGGUUGGAAAUAACCUUCUAGCCCCUGGUUCUAUCCCUUCUUCCGCCCAGCCCCCCAGCCUCAAGAAAGAACCUCA